UACGUAGGUGGCAAGCGUUGUCCGGAUUUACUGGGCGUAAAGAGCGCGCAGGCGGUCGUUCAAGUCGCGUGUGAAAGCCCCCGGCUCAACUGGGGAGGGUCACGCGAUACUGAUCGACUCGAAGGCAGGAGAGGGAAGUGGAAUUCCCGGUGUAGUGGUGAAAUGCGUAGAUAUCGGGAGGAACACCAAAGGCGAAGGCAGUGUCCUGGGGAGUACCUGACGCUCAGGUGCGAAAGCCAGGGGAGCGAACGGG
rnacentral:rRNA from 1 species